rnacentral:rRNA from 1 species
GAUGAACGCUGGCGGCGUGCCUAAUACAUGCAAGUCGAGCGAACGGACGAGAAGCUUGCUUUUCUGAUGUUAGCGGCGGACGGGUGAGUAACACGUGGAUAACCUACCUAUAAGACUGGGAUAACUUCGGGAAACCGGAGCUAAUACCGGAUAAUAUUUUGAACCGCAUGGUUCAAAAGUGAAAGACGGUCUUGCUGUCACUUAUAGAUGGAUCCGCGCUGCAUUAGCUAGUUGGUAAGGUAACGGCUUACCAAGGCAACGAUGCAUAGCCGACCUGAGAGGGUGAUCGGCCACACUGGAACUGAGACACGGUCCAGACUCCUACGGGAGGCAGCAGUAGGGAAUCUUCCGCAAAGGGCGAAAGCCUGACGGAGCAACGCCGCGUGAGUGAUGAAGGUCUUCGGAUCGUAAAACUCUGCUAUUAGGGAAGAACAUAUGUGUAAGUAACUGUGCACAUCUUGACGGUACCUAAUCAGAAAGCCACGGCUAACUACGUG